CUUUACUAUAGCCUGGAAUUGUGUUCGGGCUUUUCUUGCGCAGCCUAGGUGGGAGGCUAUGAAGAUUUCCUUCCGGGGAAGUUGGAGCCAUCAGUGAGAGACCACUCUGGGGAGGCUAGAAUCCUAAUGGUGAUCCUUGAAUCAGGACACUUGACAGUUUCAGGUGGGCAGUUUUUCUGGGGCGGAAGCCUCAUAAAGGGUAACUGAGGCGCGCAAAGGUCCCCUCAGUCUGGACGGAAAUCAGACAACGAGUGUAAAGGCAAAAGGGGGCUUGACUGCAAGACCUACAAGUCGAGCAGGAGCGAAAGCUGGCCUUAGUGAUCCGACGGUACCGUGUGGAAGGGCCGUCGCUCAACGAAUAAAAGUUA
rnacentral:rRNA from 1 species